rnacentral:rRNA from 1 species
CGGUGCGAUCAUACCAGCACUAAUGCACCGAUCCAUCAGAAUGCGAGAGUAGUACUAGGAUGGUGACCUCCUGGAAGUCCUCGUGUUGCACCCC